GGGGGUAAGCCCUCACCCCUCCCUGCCCAGGGGUCAUCUGCAGACACCAAGACCCUAGGUGAGGCCAGUGGGGGCCAGCCUGGGCUCCCUCCCCACAACACACCCUCUGGGAGGCAGUGGGGGAUGGCUUCGAAGCCAGGACCCAGCCCUGCGGGGUGGGGAGGCUAGCCCAGGGGCAGGGGCUGGAGGGGCUGGUGGGGAAGGCAACUGGCCUUGCUUCUGCUUCCUAGCUGGGUGGCCACAGAGCUGCCUGGAGCCUCAGGGAGGUCCAGCAGGGGCGCCUGCACAACAAAAGGCCUGUUCCCGCCACUGGCCAGGCAUCCAGCCUCCGCUCACGGCGGCCUGGGACCAGUGCACUGGUGUGGGGGUGUUCCGCCUGGCCCAGCCCAGGUGCGGCACUUACCUGGUCCCCGCAGCAACCACGGGCUGCCACACAGCCCUCGGGCCCAGUGCCCAGUCCUUCAGGGAUCAGGGUGGAGCCGCUCUGGGCUGUUGGGCCCUCUGUCCGGCUUUCCUGGUGGGGCUGGGCGGGGCCAGGGAGGAGGGAGCAGGGAAGGGGCUGUGGCCUCAUCUCCAUGUGGGGCCCUGGCCCCUGAGCGGCCCACCCCAUUGUGUGCCUGGCCUGGCUCACAAUCACAGCCUUUGUGGUGGCUUCUCCCACCCAGGGGAACUCAAGCAUGGUGGGGGUCCUGGCCCCCCACCAGCUUCAAAGGGCAAGUUCCUCCUCCUCAUGUGGGCCCGUCCUAAGCCGGGGGACAGGUGGCUGGCCCCAGGCAGGGACUGAGCCUGAGCUUGGGGGCAGGUCUUGCUGUGUUGAACCCCCACCUCCUAGUCCUACAGGGUGAGGCAGACAGGCAAAGCACGUUGAACACGUGGGGGUGGAAAAGGCCCCAGAAUGAGCAGCCAGCAGAGGGUCCCUGCCGGGCUGGGUGGGGCCCCUCUCCCCCUGGCCCCUGCUUGGCGUCUGUGACCCUUAGUCUGGCUGUGGCAGGAAGGGGGAGACGGACCUGGGUGCGUCCCUCAGGGGAAAUUACUGGUCAGGGGAGUUACUGGUGCCUGGUGGAGGGGAUCUGGGCCUCAUGGCAAGGGCAGGUCGUGGGUGGGGGCCUCCCAAGUCAGAGUCGGAAGCUGUGGACCAUUUUGUGGCUACAGGGGACCCAGAGCAGAGAAUGGGCUUGGAGUCCCUUGCAAACUGUCCCCUCCUCCCUCCGGCUGGAAGCCUCAGCCUCCCCUCCCCAGGCUUCAGCUAAGGCAAGCGCCACUGGCCUCCCGCUCUCCCCCCCACCCCCUGCGGGAGGCUUUCGCGGAAGGCGGAGGGGAGAGAAGGGGGAGGGGGUCUCGGCCCACGUCCCGCCCCCAAGAAGACACCUGACCUGUCUCCAAGUUGCCGGCCCGUGGCGAGAGGGGCCUUUGUGCGCAUGGAGGCAGCUGCCUGGAACCCGGAGCCCUGAGCCGCCCCGGCUGCGCCGCCUCCCUGCGCCCUUCACUCACAGCCGGGGAGCUCGCAAAUAAAUCCACAAACACAAAAUCUUGUGUGCCGGGGAGAAACUGCGGCGUGGGCAGAGCGGAGAGCGGUGCGGGGUGCAGCGAGCCUGGGGCACGGAGAGGCUGGGCCCGCGCCCCCGGAGCCAACGGAAGCACAAACCCGCGCUGGGGCCUGGCAGCAGUAAGUUGACUUUUGUGAAACCUUCAGAGGCUCCAGGCCCAUCAAGAAGGUCCCCACCAGACGGGGGAAGAAGGGCGGGCAGGGUGGAGGCUGGAGGCGGGCUCCCUUUCCCACCCAGCACCUACUGGUCAGCUCCACCCCCACACCCAUGGCAGCCCUUCUUCCCGGAGGGCCAGGGUGAUGGGUCGCUGGUUACUGGGAACGGAAGGGCCGAGCCUCUGUGCUCAGGACUCUGACAUGUAAAAAUGGCAAGAAGAGAUGCUGCCGGCUGCGCAAAAACCUGGUCUGAUCCAAGAGAAGGAGAGCAACACCCCCACUGCCCUGCCCGCAGAGAGGAGGCAGAGAGGUGGUACAGGGCUCGGCCAGCAAAGGGAGCAGGUGGGCAAGGGGCGGUGACUCU
rnacentral:lncRNA from 1 species